GCUUCUAUAGCUCAGUUGGUAGAGCGUGGCUUUAGUAAGGCCAAGGUCASGCGUUCAAACCGCUUUAGAAGCA
rnacentral:tRNA from 1 species